CCAGAAGUCUUCCAUAAUCAUUCUAGUUGCUUCAGGGAAACCUUUGCCUUCAUCUUCUGCAACUUGUUGUAGAGUUCUUACAGCAAGGAACGGAGCCGAAGCAGUUCCAAAUGUUACCCAAAGCAAUCUGAAAUCUUUGACUUUA